GUUUUACAGGUGGAGAGCACAGGACGGUCUGGGGGUCUUACAGGUGGAGAGCACAGGACGGUCUGAGGGUCUUACAGGUGGAGAGCACAGGACGGUCUGGGGGUCUUAAAGGUGGAGAGCACAGGACGGUCUGGGGGUCUUAAAGGUGGAGAGCACAGGACGGUCUGGGGGUCUUAAAGGUGGAGAGCACAGGACGGUCUGAGAGGCUUACAGCUCGAGAAGGCAGAACGAUUUGAGAGGCUUACAACUGGAGAACACAGGACAGUUUGAGGGGCUUACAACUGGAGAAUGGCAAAUGUUUGAUUCCUGGAGUCACCAAGUCUCCGAAACAACAAGACACCACCUCCAUGCCAACACAUUAUUUGGAAGUCUUGUUACCAGGUGCUUUGAUCAGAUGGGUCGAAAAUAGAGCUUCCAGGCCACAAAUGACAGGUGGGUUUAGGGCACAAAUAGGGAAGGUCAUGCUCAACUUAAAAUGAAGUAUAGAUUAUGAUAAGUGGUUAGUUAGACAGAUUUAGAACAAUAUCUGUCUGGCUCUAUAACUGGUUCACUGUUGGAUCUUCCAAAAGGUUAAUGAUCUAAAGCAUUCUUCCAGAUCCACACAACAAUGCCUCAAUGACCAUAACAUCGGAGAGACAACGUCAGCACCUGUAGCUGGACAAAAGUCAUUGGAAUUUUGAUCAGAACCGCUUUUCAUGGUCAGAUGAGACAGAGCUUUUUGACCUAAAAAAAAGACAUUUCUGGGAGAGUCCACAAGCAAGGACCAUGGACUCUGAAGCACCUGGAGAGUUUCUGCAUUUAAUAGAAUGGUCUCAGAUCCCUUGGAGUGUUUUAUCUCACCUCAUCAAGCAUUAUAGAAGACUCAGUGCUGUUAUUUUGGCAAGUGGAGAGUGCACAAAUCAUUAAAUGCCAGGUGCCAUUAGUCCUGACAUGUUUUUGAGACAAUUAAAUAAUCUAUUUGUAGUGUGCUUCAGUCAGAUCCAAGCUCCCACACAGCCCUUGGCAACAGGGGUUAGUUGCCUACCCCAGCUCUACCUAAAACAGGUAUUAUCUAAAACAUUAGCUGCAGUAAUCAAAAUGACGUUACUGUCUUUGAAUGCUUUCAGGAGGGAGGGGGGGGGGUGUUACCACAGCUCAUGCACAUUUUUGCUGAUUCCACUCCACAGCAUCAUAUACUUUCUCCACAAUACUGUAAGUGCACAUGAAAAUAAUAUUAGCCAACUAACUUCUUGGUGCAAUAUUUGCAUUAUUGUACACAUGACUUAACAAAAGGAAGUCGACAGUUUGCUAAAACCCCCCAGGGAAAUCACAGUGGUGACUGUGCGACCAAUGACGAGGAAGGAGAGAAGGCAAUCAGAACAUCAGAAAAGACGAACAACAAAUUUUCAACACAACUCCCUCCCUCUCAUUCUCCACCCCCCAUAAGGAAGCCUGUUCCUCACCCCUGAGGAUGUUCUGAUUGCAGUCUGUAACGGGUUUAAUGACAAGGGGAAAGUUUGGUGCCAUUGUGAUUAAUAAAAUAAUAUUAUGGAAAUGACAAAACUCAUUCAAUUGAGUUUUGUGUUGAAAAGUGGAACUCCAUAGGUGUUGCUUGGAUGCGUUUCGAUGGGUAAUAUAUUAUACAGGGAAGUCGGAACCAUUUGGGAUACGUUACUAUAACAUCAGCUUCCGGUCAAAAUCUAUAUCUAUACUGUAUCUAUAAUGUAACUAUAUCUAUACUGUAUCCAUAUCUACAGUGGGGAGAACAAGUAUUUGAUACACUGACGAUUUUGCAGGUUUUCCCACUUACAAAGAAUGUAGAGGUCUGUAAUUUUUAUCAUAGGUACUCUUCAACUGUGAGUGACGGAAUCUAAAACAAAAAUCCAGAAAAUCACAUUGUAUGAUUUUUAAGUAAUACAUUUGCAUUUUAUUACAUUGAUACAUCAGAAAAGCAGAACUUAAUAUUUGGUACAGAAACCUUUGUUUGCAAUUACAGAGAUCAUACAUUUCCUGUAGUUCUUGUCCAGGUUUGCACACACUGCAGCAGGGAUUUUGGCCCACUCCUCCUACAGACCUUCUCCAGAUCCUUCAG
ensembl:lncRNA